rnacentral:rRNA from 1 species
UUAUUUCGGUAGAAUUCUUAGUGGCGAACGGGUGAGUAACGCGUAGGCAACCUACCCUUUAGACGGGGACAACAUUCCGAAAGGAGUGCUAAUACCGGAUGUGAUCAUCGUGCCGCAUGGCAGGAUGAAGAAAGAUGGCCUCUACAAGUAAGCUAUCGCUAAAGGAUGGGCCUGCGUCUGAUUAGCUAGUUGGUAGUGUAACGGACUACCAAGGCGAUGAUCAGUAGCCGGUCUGAGAGGAUGAACGGCCACAUUGGGACUGAGACACGGCCCAAACUCCUACGGGAGGCAGCAGUGGGGAAUCUUCCGCAAUGGACGAAAGUCUGACGGAGCAACGCCGCGUGAGUGAUGAAGGAUUUCGGUCUGUAAAGCUCUGUUGUUUAUGACGAACGUGCAGUGUGUGAACAAUGCAUUGCAAUGACGGUAGUAAACGAGGAAGCCACGGCUAACUACGUGCCAGCAGCCGCGGUAAUACGUAGGUGGCGAGCGUUGUCCGGAAUUAUUGGGCGUAAAGAGCAUGUAGGCGGCUUAAUAAGUCGAGCGUGAAAAUGCGGGGCUCAACCCCGUAUGGCGCUGGAAACUGUUAGGCUUGAGUGCAGGAGAGGAAAGGGGAAUUCCCAGUGUAGCGGUGAAAUGCGUAGAUAUUGGGAGGAACACCAGUGGCGAAGGCGCCUUUCUGGACUGUGUCUGACGCUGAGAUGCGAAAGCCAGGGUAGCGAACGGGAUUAGAUACCCCGGUAGUCCUGGCCGUAAACGAUGGGUACUAGGUGUAGGAGGUAU